UCUCCGUAGGUGAACCUGCGGAGGGAUCAUUACCGAGUGAGGGUUUCGGCCCGACCUCCAACCCUUUGUGAAUCAAACCUGUUGCUUCGGGGGCGACCCUGCCGUUCGCGGCGCGGCGCCCCCGGAGGUCUUCUAAACACUGCAUCUUUGCGUCGGAGUUUAAACAAAUUAAACAAAACUUUCAACAACGGAUCUCUUGGUUCUGGCAUCGAUGAAGAACGCAGC
rnacentral:misc_RNA from 1 species